rnacentral:rRNA from 1 species
UACGUAGGGCCCGAGCGUUGUCCGGAAUUAUUGGGCGUAAAGGGCUCGUAGGCGGUUUGUCGCGUCGGGAGUGAAAUCCACUGGCUUAACUGGUGGCUUGCUUUCGAUACGGGCAGACUGGAGGUAUGCAGGGGAGAACGGAAUUCCUGGUGUAGCGGUGAAAUGCGCAGAUAUCAGGAGGAACACCGGUGGCGAAGGCGGCAUCCUGGACCGAUACUGACGCUGAGGAGCGAAAGCCAGGGGAGCAAACGGG